rnacentral:tRNA from 1 species
UAGGAAGUGGUGUAGUGGGAGCACUAAGGGUUUUGAUCUCUUCAGUAGAGGUUCAAGUCCUCUCUUUCUAA